ACUCCUACGGGAGGCAGCAGUAAGGAAUUUUCGUCAAUGGGGGAAACCCUGAACGAGCAACGCCGCGUGGAGGACGACGGUCUUCGGAUUGUAAACUCCUUUUAUACGGGACGAUAAUGACGGUACCGUAGGAAUAAGCCCCGGCUAACUCUGUGCCAGCAGCCGCGGUAAUAC
rnacentral:rRNA from 1 species